GCAGUGGUGGCUCAGGGGUAGAAUUCUCGCUUUCCAAGUGGGAGCCCUGGGUUUGAUUCCUGGCCACUGUA
rnacentral:tRNA from 1 species